UCUCCCUACCAAAGCCAGAAGCGGCUGGUACUUGAAGCGGAGUGAGCCGGAAGUCGCUUUGCCUGCCCACUUCCACGCUGUACCGGCGGAAAUUCAAGCACUGGAAGAGAGGUUCCGGGGCUGGGCUGGCCUCACUGAAGGCGGCGGAAUGGAGACGCGGACCGAGGACGGGGGCCUCACCCGCAGCCCCACGCUGGCCUCUUCUUGGGAUGUUGCAGGCGGGGCCCUGACCCACAGCCUCCUCCUCACCCGGGCCGGUCUUGGCCCCGGUGACUUCGACUGGGAGGAGCUGCUGGCACCGCCUGCUCCAGGUCAGGAUCUGGUGAUUUUGAAGAGAAACCUCAACAACAAAGAUGAAAACCCCUGCUGUCUUUACCUGAGGUGUGGCCCUUAUGGAGGUGAAGAAAUCGCUUCUAUUGGCAUUUUAAGUUCAGCAAGAAAUAUGGAAGUGUACUUAGGAGAGGAGUACUGUGGAACCAGUAGGGGCAAGAAUGUUUGUACUGUCCUGGAUGACAGUGAACAUGAAAAGAUCAUUUUGUACAAAAAAUAUCUAAAAUUGGAGUCCUCCACACAUGCUUGUAAAAUAAAGUUGCUCUCCUUUGGCGAAAGGCAGUGUGUGUUCAUCAGUAAAGUUGUGGUACACAUGAGAUCAGUUUUUGCAAAUUCUUCAACAAGCUCUCCUGCUCUAGGAUCAAGGAUAGACCUUGACAAGGUCCAAACCAUAAUGGAGUCCAUGGGGUCAAAGUUAUCUCCUGGAGCUCAGCAGUUGAUGGAUAUGGUUAGGUUUCAGCAGCGGAAUUGUAUUCCCAUUGGAGAGCAGCUUCAGUCGGUGUUGGGCAAUACUGGAUACAAGCAUAUGAUUGGACUACAAUCCUCAUCUACCUUAGGAACCUUAGACAAGUCAUCCUCCACACCUUUUCCUUUUAGAACUGGAUUGACAUCUGGGAACGUGACUGAAAACUUACAAACUUACAUUGAUAAAAGUACACAACUGCCUGGUGGAGAGAAUUCUACCAAGCUUGAUGAGUGUAAAAUUAUGCCUCAAAACCAUGCCUUUCUUGAAAAUGAUCUUAAAAAUGCAGUGGCCUCUUUCUUACCAAAGAAAGCAAGUGACAACUCAAAUAUACCUAACUCUGAGUUGCUGCCUUUUCUCCAGAAUUUAUGUAGUCAAGUUAAUCAUCUCCAUGUGGGAAAUAAGACCGAGUGUCAGGAAAACAUCACCAAGCAUGGUGAACGCAUUCUUGGUGUUGGGCUUGAUCCAGAUGGAAGCUGUGAAAGUGAAAACAUUAAAGUCUUUGACGGAACCUCCAGCAAUGGGCCUCUGCUAGGGCAAGUCUGCAGUAAAAACGACUAUGUUCCUGUAUUUGAAUCAUCAUCCAGUACAUUGACGUUUCAAAUAGUUACUGACUCAGCAAGAAUUCAAAGAACUGUCUUUGUCUUCUACUACUUCUUCUCUCCUAACAUCUCUAUUCCAGACUGUGGCGGUUACCUGGAUACCUUGGAAGGAUCCUUCACCAGCCCCAAUUACCCAAAGCCACAUCCUGAGCUGGCUUAUUGUGUGUGGCACAUACAAGUGGAGAAAGGUUACAAGAUAAAACUAAACUUCAAAGAGAUUUUCCUAGAAAUAGACCAACAGUGCAAAUUUGAUUUUCUUGCCAUCUAUGAUGGCCCCUCCACCAACUCUGGCCUGAUUGGACAAGUCUGUGGCCGUGUGACUCCCACCUUCGAAUCGUCAUCAAACUCUCUGACUGUCGUGUUGUCUACAGAUUAUGCCAAUUCUUACCGGGGCUUUUCUGCUUCCUACACCUCAAUUUAUGCAGAAAACAUCAACACUACAUCUUUAACUUGCUCUUCUGACAGGAUGAGAGUUAUUAUAAGCAAAUCCUACCUAGAGGCUUUUAACUCUAAUGGGAAUAACUUACAACUAAAAGACCCAACUUGCAGACCAAAAUUAUCAAAUGUUGUGGAAUUUUCUAUCCCUCUUAAUGGAUGUGGUACAAUCAGAAAGGUAGAAGAUCAGUCAAUUACUUACACCAAUAUAAUCACCUUUUCUGCAUCCUCAACUUCUGAAGUGAUCACCCGUCAGAAACAACUCCAGAUUAUUGUGAAGUGUGAAAUGGGACAUAAUUCUACAGUGGAGAUAAUAUACAUAACAGAAAAUGAUGUAAUACAAAAUCAAAAUGCACUGGGCAAAUAUAACACCAGCAUGGCUCUUUUUGAAUCCAAUUCAUUUGAAAAGACUUUACUUGAAUCACCAUAUUAUGUGGAUUUGAACCAAACUCUUUUUGUUCAAGUUAGUCUGCACACCUCAGAUCCAAAUUUGGUGGUGUUUCUUGAUACCUGUAGAGCCUCUCCCACCUCUGACUUUGCAUCUCCAACCUAUGACCUAAUCAAGAGUGGAUGUAGUCGAGAUGAAACUUGUAAGGUGUAUCCCUUAUUUGGACACUAUGGGAGAUUCCAGUUUAAUGCCUUUAAAUUCUUGAGAAGUAUGAGCUCUGUGUAUCUGCAGUGUAAAGUUUUGAUAUGUGAUAGCAGUGACCACCAGUCUCGCUGCAAUCAAGGUUGUGUCUCCAGAAGCAAACGAGACAUUUCUUCAUAUAAAUGGAAAACAGAUUCCAUCAUAGGACCCAUUCGUCUGAAAAGGGAUCGAAGUGCAAGUGGCAAUUCAGGAUUUCAGCAUGAAACACAUGCGGAAGAAACUCCAAACCAGCCUUUCAACAGUCUGCAUCUGUUUUCAUUCAUGGUUCUAGUUCUGAAUGUAGUGAUUGUAGCGACAAUCACAGUGAGGCAUUUUGUAAAUCAACGGGCAGACUACAAAUACCAGAAGCUGCAGAACUAUUAACUAACAGGCUUUUCCCUGUGAAGUGCAUUUUGAUCCAUGAGGUACGGAAUACUGAACAGUGGCCAUGGCUUUCAAACUUCAGCCUUUCUGAGAAUCACCUGGAAUGCUUUUGGAGAAGGUUGCUUCCUGGAUCCCAUCCUUUCAACCACACACCAAGAGGAACUGAUCUGGAAGUUCGUUUGGACCCUUGUUUAUUAAAAUGUUUUAUGUGUACUUUUCAAGUUUCCCAAAUGCUUUGAGGAUUUGGGAAACAGACUGAGAACAUGGCCACAUGAACACCUGGUAGUGAAGUAGGAGGCGGGAUUCAACUCUAGAGGCAGAGCUCGGGCACCGGACCAAAUUGAGGACUAACUGAAACAGGGUUGGAAGCAGCUUUCAAUCAGACAUGCCCACCAGUGUGCCAUGUCAAUUUACUGUUGCCACGGCAGCACCUGGGAGUUACUGCCCCUUUCCAUGUCAAUGACCCACUAACUCAAAAGGUACUACCCCUUGCCUAGAAAUUUCUGCAUAAACCAACCCUUAAUCUGCAUGCAAUUAAAAGCGAGUAUUAAUAUGACUGCAAAACUGCCCUGAGCUGCUACUUUUUGCCUACAGGGUAGCCCUGCUCUGCGGGAGCAGUCAUAGAGCUGUAACACCGCUGAAGCUGUAACAUUGCCUCUUUGAUAAAGCUGU